UGCCGGUGUGAGUAACGAAAAUUGGGUGAGAAUCCCAUUCACCGUUUGACUAAGGGUUCCUGGGUAAAGUUCGUCUUCCCAGGGUAAGUCAGGACCUAAGAUGAGGCUGAAAAGCGUAGUCGAUGGACAACAGGUUGAUAUUCCUGUACCACCUAUAUGACUGAAGGAGUGACGGAGAAAGCUAGUGAGAGCCAGUUAAUGGAUUCUGGUCUAAGUGCGUAGGCUAGUAUGUUGGCAAAUCCGCAAUACUAUAACAGCUGAAACAUGAUGGGGAAGAGAGUCUUCGGACAAUCGAACUUUCAUGAUGCUAUGCUUCCAAGAAAAGCUUCUAGGGUUAAUCGUAUAGGUGCCUGUACCGACAACCGACACAGGUGGUCAAGGAGAGUAUCCUAAGGUGAGCGAGAGAACUAUGGUUAAGGAACUCGGCAAAAUGACCCCGUAACUUCGGGAGAAGGGGUGGUCUAGCGAUAGACCCGCAGUGAAUAGGCCCAGGCAACUGUUUACCAAAAACACAGGUCUCUGCUAACACGUAAGUGGAUGUAUAGGGGCUGACGCCUGCCCAGUGCUGGAAGGUUAAAGAGAUUAGUUAGUAUGACGCAAGUCGAUAAUACGAAGCUUUGAACUGAAGCCCCAGUGAACGGCGGCCGUAACUAUAACGGUCCUAAGGUAGCGAAAUUCCUUGUCAGGUAAGUUCUGACCCGCACGAAAGGCGUAAUGAUCUGGGUACUGUCUCAACCAUAGACUCGGUGAAAUCUUAAUACCUGUGAAAAUGCAGGUUACCCGCGACUGGACGGAGAGACCCCGUGGAGCUUUACUGUAGCUUGAUAUUGGAAUUCGGUAAACUAUGUAGAGCAUAGGUGGGAGACUAUGAGACUAAGGCGCCAGCCUUAGAGGAGUCACCAUUGGAAUACCACCCUUAGUUUAUUGGAUUUCUAACCUAGAGCCAUUAUCUGGUUCAGGGACAGUGUCUGGUGGGCAGUUUGACUGGGGCGGUCGCCUCCUAAAAUGUAACGGAGGCGUUCAAAGGUUCCCUCAGAAUGGUUGGAAAUCAUUCAAAGAGCGUAAAGGUAUAUAGGGAGCUUGACUGCGAGACCUACAAGUCAAGCAGGUGCGAAAGCAGGACUUAGUGAUCAGGCGAUUCAGA
rnacentral:rRNA from 1 species